ACAAAAUAAGGUGAUGGGGUUCACCUCUAACCGCACGCAUCGCUGAUAACUCCUACAAACUA
rnacentral:ncRNA from 1 species